AAAUGUGGCUUCCAAGGAAACCCCGCAAAAUAUCCGCGAUGCCGUGUCGAACCGUUUUGCGCUCUUCCGUCCUCCUCUGGGAGCCAUGGCCAUGGCGGCCCCCCUCCCUCCACCGCCCUCCGCCUCCCCUUCUUCGACCUUCUAGGGCUACGGUUUUCUACGGAGCUUCCCCUCUUCGAUGCUCUCAUAGCGAGGCGCCGUCGCCCGCCUCUUCCCCUUCUUCUUCCUCUCCCCAGGACGACCAGGGCCCACCCCAGGAGGCCGUCCUCAAGGCCAUCUCCGAAGUAUCAAAGUCGGAAGGAAGGGUUGCUCAAACCACAAAUAUUGUCAUUGGUGGUACAGUGACAGAUGAUGCUAGCAAUGAAUGGCUUGUUCUAGAUCAGAAGGUAAACUCAUAUCCCAUGAAGAGAGGGUUCACUGCAAUAGGAACUGGAGGUGAUGAUUUUGUCCAAGCAAUGGUUGUUGCUGUUGAAUCUGUACUUCAGCAACCAAUUCCGAAGGGUCGUGUGACUCAGAAACUGUCUUCAAGGGGCAGGUAUGUGUCUGUAAACAUUGGACCUAUUCGUGUUGUCUCCAGUGAGCAGGUCCAAGCUGUAUAUAAUGCCAUGAGGAGGGAUGACAGAAUGAAGUAUUUUUUGUAGACUAUGUUCGCAUGUUUAUCCAUGAAACAGUCCACAUGGUUUGGCAUUCUUGUGUUGCUGUAGCUCCAUUUUAGCGUUGGUAAUCUAUGGCAAUCCGUCAUGUGGGCAAGGAGGUCUCAGGUGGAUUCGAUUGUGUGCGAAGAUGCAGCAUGAGGCAUCACUUUCAAGCGGUUGUGGACGGCUAUGAUGUGGUCCAAAAUUGGACCUACGUUUAGCUUCAUCGAACCUUCCCGACGAUUAUUUCAACAUCAAAGUUAAUAGUUUAAUUAAAGUCGAACAAACAAAAUAGAUGCUGGAGGGGUGUUAUGGACUACCAGCUUGUUUCACAUCACUGAAGGGUCAGCUCUCUUCUUCAAAGACUUUAUUAGGCUCCCCAACUUCCUAACCUUAAUGACCCCCUGGCUCUUGUCAUUAUGUACCCUAUAUUCCAUGACAUCUUUUAUGGUGGCAUAUAUUUGCGCAAGUUGGUAGAUUAUAUAUCAAGCAACUGUAAUCAUCUGUAACUAUGUGAUCAUGCUGAUGACCGACUGUAACCCCCCCUGAAAAACUACCAGUUCUGUGAUGAUCUUCCUAUUUGCAUUAGAUUCUGUUUCUAUGACUUAGCCAUCAAUGAUUUCAAUGUAUUUGUAGUUUCCAAGGUAGAGGUGAGCACAUAAUAUGUUGUGUGCUCUGAACAAUUGGUACUCAGGUCUUACAAGGUGUACCCUUGGAUAGUCUUGUAAUUAGAAUCUUGGGUAUAUAAUGUCUCAGAGGAAUGCAAUUCCCUAUAUUGGAUCUUUUGCAUCAUAGAUAACAUGCAUUUUAUCUUCCAACCUCAA